rnacentral:rRNA from 1 species
GUACACACCGCCCGUCACACCAUGGGAGUUGGCUUCACCCGAAGGCAGUGCGCUAACCGCAAGGAGGCAGCUGACCACGGUGGGAUCAGCGACUGGGGUGAAGUCGUAACAAGGUAGCCGUAGGUGAACCUGCAGAAGGAUCA